CCUACGGGAGGCUGCAGUGAGGAAUAUUGGUCAAUGGCCGCAGGGCUGAACCAGCCAAGUCGCGUGAGGGAUGACGGUCCUAUGGAUUGUAAACCUCUUUUGUCAGGGAGCAAAGGGCGCCACGUGUGGCGCUUUGCGAGUACCUGAAGAAAAAGCAUCGGCUAACUCCGUGCCAGCAGCCGCGGUAAUACGGAGGAUGCGAGCGUUAUCCGGAUUUAUUGGGUUUAAAGGGUGCGCAGGCGGAAUGUCAAGUCAGCGGUAAAAUUUCGGGGCUCAACCCCGUCGUGCCGUUGAAACUGGCGUUCUUGAGUGAGUGAGAAGUAUGCGGAAUGCGUGGUGUAGCGGUGAAAUGCAUAGAUAUCACGCAGAACUCCGAUUGCGAAGGCAGCAUACCGGCGCUCAACUGACGCUCAUGCACGAAAGCGUGGGUAUCGAACAGGAUUAGAUACCCCAGUAGUC
rnacentral:rRNA from 1 species